rnacentral:tmRNA from 1 species
GGGGCUGAUUCUGGAUUCGACGGGAUUUGCGAAACCCAAGGUGCAUGCCGAGGGGCGGUUGGCCUCGUAAAAAGCCGCAAAAAAUAGUCGCAAACGACGAAAACUACGCUUUAGCAGCUUAAUAACCUGCUUAGAGCCCUCUCUCCCUAGCCUCCGCUCUUAGGACGGGGAUCAGGAGAGGUCAAACCCAAAAGAGAUCGCGUGGAAGCCCUGCCUGGGGUUGAAGCGUUAAAACUUAAUCAGGCUAGUUUGUUAGUGGCGUGUCCGUCCGCAGCUGGCAAGCGAAUGUAAAGACUGACUAAGCAUGUAGUACCGAGGAUGUAGGAAUUUCGGACGCGGGUUCAACUCCCGCCAGCUCCACCA